CUUUAUUGUAAUCAUAUGAAGCAAAAGUUCGGUCUCUUGUUGUUUACACUUGGCAAUGUUAACUAUUGAGUAGCAUACACAAACUAUUCGAGGAACAUGCAUUACUGUAGCAAUGAGUCAAUCAUAUAUCGAAGAUCACUGAAUAGUAGAGAAUGUUUUGAAGGUCAUGAGUGAAGUAUAUAAUUCAAUUCCAAUUUUGUGCAUAGUUAAUGAUAUACCACACUGUUCGGUUUAACACAGCAUAUCCACACAAAAACAAUUUAGUUUUGCACAUUGUGUGCAAUUGAUCUGAUCUAUCCAUAUGAUUAUUGUAGCUGUUAAAUUGACAUUUUGACUACUUACCAGUUGAGGAUAAGUUUCCAUGUUGAUAAUAGAAUGGCGAGAAAAUAAGACAAAAAGAUAUUUUUGAAAAUCCAAAAUGGCGAGAAUACCUAAAUAACACAAGGCCAGACCAUGCCCGUUCGCAGGUUAGAUGGCGGACACGAUGUAACAUAAUCGCUGAUUGGCUUAAAUUAUAUAAGCUCGUCGCUGAAUGGCUAUGUGUUAACAUAAGGUAACAUUACGGUACAGUACGGUACGUUUGCGAUAGCAUAUAUAUCUGCUUCGCAGAUACAAAAAUUUGAUCUCAAAUGCGGCGCUUAUUCGGAGGCAGCGCUCAAUCGGGGGCGGCGCUCAAUCGAGUAAAUACGGUAUAUGUACAAGGCUGGAGGGAGCUCGUGGCAUAUUAUUAGCCGUUG